UCCCUGGCAGCUCAGACGGUAAAGCAUCUGCCUGCAAUGCGGGAGACCCAGGUUCAAUUCCUGGGUUGGGAA
rfam:TPA: Bos taurus chromosome 13, whole genome shotgun sequence.